UAGGGUUUGAUCAUGGCUCAGGACGAACGCUGGCGGCGUGCUUAACACAUGCAAGUCGAGCGAUGAAGCACCUUCGGGUGUGAAUUAGCGGCGAACGGGUGAGGAACACGUGAGAAAUCUGCCUUCAACUCUGGGAUAACUCCGUGAAAACGGGGCUAAUACCGGAUAUGAAACCUGCGGGCAUCCGCGGGUUUGGAAAGUUUUUCGGUUGAAGAUGAUCUCGCGGCCUAUCAGCUUGUUGGUGAGGUAAUGGCUCACCAAGGCGACGACGGGUAGCCGGCCUGAGAGGGCGACCGGCCACACUGGGACUGAGACACGGCCCAGACUCCUACGGGAGGCAGCAGUGGGGAAUAUUGGGCAAUGGAGGAAACUCUGACCCAGCGACGCCGCGUGCGGGAUGAAGGCCUUCGGGUUGUAAACCGCUUUCAGCAGGGAAGAAGCGAAAGUGACGGUACCUGCAGAAGAAGCACCGGCUAACUAUGUGCCAGCCGCCGCGGUAAUAC
rnacentral:rRNA from 1 species